rnacentral:misc_RNA from 1 species
GAAAUGCGAUAAUUAAUGUGAAUUGCAGAAUUCAGUGAAUCAUCGAGUCUUUGAACGCACAUUGCGCCCCCUGGUAUUCCGGGGGGCAUGCCUGUCCGAGCGUCAUUGCUGCCCUCAAGCACGGCUUGUGUGUUGGGCUUCCGUCCCUGGCAACGGGGACUGGCCCAAAAGGCAGUGGCGGCACCAUGUCUGGUCCUCGAGCGUAUGGGGCUUUGUCACCCGCUCCCGUAGGUCCAGCUGGCAGCUAGCCUCGCAACCAAUCUUUUUAACCAGGUUGACCUCGGAUCAGGUAUGGAUACCCGCUGAACUUAAGC